GCCUAACACAUGCAAGUCAACUUGACUGAAGGAGCAGUCUGACAGUAGGAGUGGCGCGAAGGGUGCGUAACGCGUAAGUAACUUGCCCAAGGUAAGGAAUAACGUCGAGAAAUCGGCGCUAAUACCUCAUAAUGCAGCGGAUCCGCAUGGAUAUGUUGUUAAAGGUUUACCGCCUUGGGAUAGGCUUGCGUCUGAUUAGCUAGUUGGUGUGGUAACGGCACACCAAGGCUACGAUCAGUAACUGGUCUGAGAGGAUGAUCAGUCACACUGGAACUGAGACACGGUCCAGACUCCUACGGGAGGCAGCAGUGAGGAAUAUUGGGCAAUGCUCGAAAGAGUGACCCAGCAACGCCGCGUGGAGGAUGAAGGUAUUCUAUAUCGUAAACUCCUGUGAGAGCAGACGAAAGACAGAUUAUUAAUCUGGAUGACUGUAUGCUCAGAGGAAGCCCCGGCUAACUACGUG
rnacentral:rRNA from 1 species